CAAUUUUAUUGUUUUCUUCAAUGUCAAUUUAUUAUGUGAUAAAAUAUGUUGUUUAGAAGGAAUUGGUGCAUUUAUUUUAUAUAUAUAAUUAUGGUAUGUAUAUCCAGUCAAAAUCUAUUACAAGUAUUUGUGAUAAUUUAUUCCUACUUGAUACCUAUAUCACAUUUGAUUUAAAUUUGUAAGCCUCUUAUAUUUCACAAAUAUGUGUUGGUAGCCACAAUAAUGAAAGGGACGGCAGGCAGAUCCUUGGAUUACAGUUUCAUGUAGGCAUCAGCAAAUGUGAAAGUUUUUUACUACGUAACACAGUCUAAACAUAUGUUUGUGUUAAAAGUUUCUUUCAAUGUGUUUUAAACCGUUUAACUCUUUCAGACAUCUUGGAGUGUUGACAUGUGGCUGUUUUAACGAUAUCUUUAAUGAUUGAUUGAUUGAUUGUUGGUUGUUUAAUGUCCUGUGUAUUAAUGAAUUAUCUGUUUAUGUUAACUAAAUAUGGUCACAAAUUUGUAAGCUCAUGAGAAAGUUUACUUGUUCAAGGUGGCUAAUAUCAAAAUCAUAAGACAAUAACACACAUGUCACAUAAUACAAUUGUAUAGAUCUCUUUGAUUUGUUAAAAGUAGCUACCAUCAUUAUGAAAAGACAUAUAUUUUGGCAGUUUACUUACAUUUAAGAUUAGUUUUGAAGAUAUCUGAUUGACUUUGAAGGUCACAUGAAAUGCCAUUGUCACAAAUUUAUACUCAGUCAUCCUAUCAUCUUUCAGCAUUUUUUAUUCAAGAAAAAUUUGGUGAUUUCUAAAUAUUAACAAGUAGGAACCUAGUAUAUUAAGUGCCUCAACACAGUUAUGAGAAAGAAUGACUACAAUCAACAUAAUAAUGACAUGAUGCCAUAAUGACAUAAAGCUUUAUUUAUUGUCAGAAUAAGCAAUACAACUACAAACAUAAGCUCUGAAGAGCUUUAAAAACAUAUGAGCUUUUAAUAACACUAUUUACACAGAAGUUUUAGGGUCACAAUCACGAAAAAUUAUUCAAAAAUUGUAAUGUUCUGUAAUAGAGACUAACAAAUUCCUGACAAUAAAGUUUAUGAUCAAAAUAGCAAAUUCAAAAGCUUUUAAUAUUGAAUUUUCAAGUUCAAAAUAUUAUUUUGUUACCAGUUACAAUAACAUGGGAUAACCUUCCUUAGUAACUACGAAAUUUUAAUAUUUUCAAAAUUAUGCAAACAUGGAGAUUCUGACAAAGGGUUGUUUUUGUAUCUUUGCAAUCGUAAAGAGUGGUCUAAAAUAUCUGCCAACGAAGAGUUUGAAGAAAGCUAUUAAAAAAGACACUGAAUACCCCAAUUGAAUAUGAGGGAAAUAUAAAUAUUUUUUUAAUAGAAGGCAAAGUUUGAAGCACCAUUUGAUCUGUUGUGUAUAUGUAUGAUAUGUAUUAUUUUUAGAUUUAAUGUUUACCUCAUUUCACAUUUUUUCCGAAUUGUUUAUGAUAUAUGAUAUCCAGAAACUGAAAAAGGGAAGUUAAAAAUUUAUCUUGUAAGGAGAGAUAAUUAAUAUUGUACAGUACACAUGUGUUAAUCUACUAACAACACAUUGUCUUUUACCUGGAAUCAAGAUUUUAAGCUUGUAUUUAAUUUUGCAUAUUUAUAAUUGAAGAUAUAUACUUUUUAUUACCUAUUUUGUUGUACUAUAUUGUUUUUGUUAUUAUGUGACUGAAAAUAAAGUCCCUUGAAUCACUGACUCUACUCUUUCCUCUUUCUCGAUUGUAAUCAACAACAAUACAAUACGCUGCAAACCAUUUGCACUCAGUAACGUCUUAAUCAAGAAUUGAAUGCUUCUUUUUGUAACUUCAUUGAGGUGUUAAAGCGUUGACCGAAGUAUAUUUUGUAUGAAACGCGGGC
rnacentral:lncRNA from 1 species